rnacentral:rRNA from 1 species
AACGAACGCUGGCGGCAGGCCUAACACAUGCAAGUCGAGCGAAGCCUUCGGGCUUAGCGGCGGACGGGUGAGUAACGCGUGGGAACGUGCCCUUUGGUACGGAAUAGCCCCGGGAAACUGGGAGUAAUACCGUAUGUGGUCGAGAGACGAAAGAUUUAUCGACAAAGGAUCGGCCCGCGUUGGAUUAGGUAGUUGGUGGGGUAAUGGCCUACCAAGCCGACGAUCCAUCGCUGGUUGGAGAGGAUGAUCAGCCACACUGGGACUGAGACACGGCCAAGACUCCUACGUGAGGCAGCAGUGGGGAAUCUAAGACAAUGGGGGAAACCCUGAUCUAGCCAUGCCGCGUGAUCGAUGAAGGCCUUAGGAUUGUAAAGAUCUUUCAGUGGGGAAGAUAAUGACUGUACCCACAGAAGAAGCCCCGGCUAACUCCGUGCCAGCCGCCGCGGUAACAC